UCGAGAUCUGGGAGCGGGUGGGUGCGCCUCGGGCCGCGGGACUGCUGCUGCUACCGCCGCCGCUGCCUCCGCCGCCGCCUCUACGGCCGCGUCAGAACUGAAGAGAGGAAGGGGAGGAGCCCAGGCGAGCCUAAGCUACCGCCUAAUCUUACCCCUGACCCUAGGGCGCGGAGAGAGAGCUCCGUAGCCGUUCCCUCCGGGGCAGGUGCGAACUGCUCCUCUAGGAGUGAGGAGGAGGCCAGGGACCGGGCUAGGGCGCGCACCACCCGAAGAUUCUGGUCUGGGAAAUAAGUUUAAGAAAAAACUCGUGAAAUUUAAGCUAUGGUCCUCUAGUAAAAGAAUUUUCGAGAUAAAAGAACCACAGUGUUCAGAAAUCUGUCUUGAACCUACCCUUCUUAGCGGUGUGACAGUGAGAUUAAAGCAGCAGCUAAGAUGAAGGGAAACCGUUGUGUGGCUGGACCUGCCUGCACCCCGUCCCUCUGGACGCAACAGUGAUGGGACAUUGGGCCAAACACACUCUGCACACAUUUAAGAAGCAAGCCUAGGUUUAUGCCACUGCUGUACCACCUCAUGCAACAUAGAUCAAGAAAAUGUCUAUGUUGAUAAAUCAAGGGUUCAUUUUUUUGUUCAGAGACGAAAAAGCAAAAAACAAAAAAAAAAAAAAAAAAAGUAAAGGAGAGAGGAGGAGGCCACAAAAGCAAGGAGAGGCAAGUUGCACCAGACCCUCUGUACUCUACCUGAAAUCCCAGGCGUCAAACAACUUGCCCUAAUUACCCUGGGUUUGAGUGUCUACAAACAUGAUCCAUUCGCAGGCUGUAUUCCAGUAAGAUUCACAGGGAAUCAGAUCAACUCAACAAUAGCCCAACAUAGCUGCAACAUAAUCCUUUUGUUGAACUCUCCUCCUUACAGCAGAAAUUAAAUAAAAUACAGAUGCAGAGGAGUUUGGGGAAGCUGAGCUCCUCAGAGUUAAAGUUUGUGGACUUUGAGUGGAAAGAGUCCACAUCAGAGCUCCACAACCAAGGAUGCUCCCGGAGAAGUGUCAGAGUCAGAUCUGCCUCAUUGUCAGUGGCUCCAAUUUAGAACCUCAUCAGUGAGGGUCAGAAUGAGACUCACAGGAGCCCUGAGCAACCUCCUCAGGAAUAGUAGCUGCACUAAGCUCACUGAAAGUCCAUUCUCCUCCUUGCCCAGCCUGGUAACAGGAGUAAACAGCUGUCUACAACUGGCUGCUGGAGAGGAAGGAAUUCAUACAUCUCCAAUUUGUUGUAUAUCCUUUUAGUUCCUCAUAUUGUCUGAUAAUCUAGAGGAAAAAUAUAGCCGCUAAAUCAGAUUUCCAAAAAGUAAAUCAGAAAAAAUGUAUUUCAACUAACCAGGUUCUUUCCUGACUUACGAGUUUGUCAUAAACAUCUAUAUACUAUGUUAAAGUGGGACAAGGGGAUCUCUGUGUAAAGUUCAUAACUCUUUCCUUGAAAGUGAGCUUGUAUAAGAAACUACUCAAUGUUUUAUUAUCCCACAUCAGUGGUUUCUACUGUUAAACACUAUAUAACAGAUUAACCAGCAAAAUUUCUAAAAACGCACCGUAGCACAUCAUCCAAUUUUAAGCAUCAUUGUGAAAUAGACUCAAAACGUAAGACAAUUGUGUGCUGUGGGUAAUUAUCAAAGAAACUACCAUGUAAGCAGUCAAACAGGCCAAUAAGUGGAGUUUGCUAAGCCUCCAAAGCCUGUAAUGACCUUCCUAAACACAGCUCUCCCUUCUGGGAGAGUGAGCAUUAUUCUGACAUUUGUGGCAAUCGUUUCCUUGCUUUUCUUUAUUGUUUGAUCACAGGUGUUCAUCCCUAAGCAUUACGUUGUUUAAUUUUUCCCUUUCUUGUGAGUGUUCUGUAAAGGAGAUAAUAUGUAUAAUCUGUUCUGCUAACCAUAUUUGCUCAACCUUGAUGUAACCCAUAUGUUGUUCAGGUUCAUAUAGCUGUAAAUUUGUUCCCUUUAAUUCCUGAAUAUUCGGCAUUCCAUUGUAGCAAUAUAUAACAGUUUGUUUAGCCAUUUUGUUGUUGAUAGGAGUCUGGGUUCAGUUCCAGGCUAUUAUAAAUGCUGUUGCAAAUAUUCCGUAAGUCUCUACUCCAUCCCAUCUACAUAAAUUUCUGUGUAGUCUGUACUUGAGAGUGUAUGUCAUAAAUAUGAAUAAAUCAUGCUUUGUGGUCGGUCGUCUAA